GGAGGUAUAGUUCAGUGGUAAAGUGUGUGCUUAACAUGCACAAAGUCCUGGGCUUAAUCCCCAGUAUCUCCA
rnacentral:tRNA from 1 species